rnacentral:rRNA from 1 species
GGGGAAUAUUGGACAAUGGGCGCAAGCCUGAUCCAGCCAUGCCGCGUGAGUGAUGAAGGCCCUAGGGUUGUAAAGCUCUUUCGGCGGGGACGAUAAUGACGGUACCCGCAGAAGAAGCCCCGGCUAACUUCGUGCCAGCAGCCGCGGUAAUACGAAGGGGGCUAGCGUUGUUCGGAAUCACUGGGCGUAAAGCGCACGUAGGCGGAUUGUUAAGUCAGGGGUGAAAUCCCGAGGCUCAACCUCGGAACUGCCUUUGAUACUGGCAAUCUUCGAGUCCGGGAGAGGUGAGUGGAACUCCGAGUGUAGAGGUGAAAUUCGUAGAUAUUCGGAAGAACACCAGUGGCGAAGGCGGCUCACUGGCCCGGUACUGACGCUGAGGUGCGAAAGCGUGGGGAGCAAAC